ACCAGACCGCUGCCGAGUACGCGCUCACCUUCCGGACUGUAGCAGCAUCCAGUGUAUGGAAUGACCCGGCACUCAGUACACUAUUCAGAAGAGGACUGCGCAAGGAGGUCCAGACGGAACUGGCUUGUCGAGAUGACAACCUCUCCUUGGACGCACUCAUUGUGAUGACGCUCCAGCAGGGAAGCUCCUUCCCCUUCCCGUGCCUCAGCAUCCCUACCGAUCUCCCCUCUCCACAGUUUCACCACCAUUCUGGUGGUUGUGGACAGAUUUUCUAAAUCAUGCUGGUUUAUUCCUCUCUGGUCUCCCCACAGCUCUCCAGGUCGCUGAGGCACUAUACCAGCAGUUCUUCCGGGACUAUGGCCUUCCGAGGAUCUGGAAAGCCUUUAUGGAAAAGCUAGGGGUCACGGUCAGCCUCACCUUCGGGUACCAGCCUUGGACCAACCAAGCGCUGGGGAGGUUCCUAAGAAGUCACUGCCAGGACCGGAAAGGUGAGUGGGCCUUGUUCUUUCCUGGGUGGACUAUGACCAGAAGUCACUUCGACACUCCACCAGGCUGACUCCCAGUGCGUCCUGGGAUAUCAACCGGCCCUGGCUCCAUGGACUCCGAGCCAGACCGAGGCCCCUGCAGUGGAUGAGUGGUUCCAGUGCGCAGUGGAGGUGUGGUACACCGUCCACGUGAGACCGUCAGAAGGAUCUGGCGGACUGCCACCGCAGUGAGGCCCCAGUGUUCCAUCCUGGUGAUCGCUUAUGGCUCCCCACCAGGAACCUCCCGCUCCGCCUGUCCUGCCGAAGCUGAGCCCCCGGUUUGUGGGGCCCUUCAAGGUCCUCCACAGGGUCAAUGAGUUUCUCACCUCAGUUUGUCACCCUGCUCACCUGGUGAACUGAAAGAAGAAAUCAGUGGGAAGAAAGAAAUGUCAAUGUCGAGCUCCAACACACCAUAUUGUGUCCUGAGAGAGGUGGUCAGCCAGAUGACCGAAGGCUGAUUGGGAUGUGCCGGUGCUGCAGGUGACAUGGCAGGGGGCUGAGGCUUUGCACUUUGUGGGUUCAGUCCUAAAGGUGGGCCAGGAGGUGCAACUGAAGAUGGACUGGGAGCGGAGGUUUGACCACAUGCAGCAACACUUAGGGUCCACAGCAGGUCCACGCCUAGCGCCUUCAGCAGCACGUAGAAGCCCACAGCGAUGGAGAGCAGAAAGAGGGUGGUGUAGAAGUACUUCUUCAGACUGGCUCCGUAGAUCCACUGGGUUCUGUUGAACGCCUCAGCCACAACCAUACCUGGAAAUCAAAUAGAAAACAUGACUUGGUGGGGGAAGUGGGCAGCAAUGAAGACUCUGGAGAGACACACACAGACCUGGACCGCCCAGAAGAACGCCCACAGAGUGCCCCGUAGAUACCUGCCCAGACAAGGGGAGAGGGAGAGGAACCAUCAGCAAAUGCAUAUUUAGGCAUUUUGAAAUCUGCCUGGCUGCUAAGAGACUGCAUAAUAAAUCGUGAAUACCAGUAAAUGUGCAAAUAAAUAUUAUGCACAGCAUGGGAAUUUGUUUUUCCUGUGUCACUAGAGGUGAAUAGGCUUCUGAUACAUGUAAUCAUUUUAAUCGACUGUUGCUUCCUUUGAUUUGACAACAAAACCACUCGAACGGAAUCUUUGGCGCAUCCCCUUCCCUUCGACUAACUGAAGUUAGUUUUCAGGGUAAAUCAUCAACUACAGUGCUGCACAGACAAGUAGCAUAAAACUGACAAGAACUGAACGAAAAAUGGCAAACAAGAAUAAGAUCAUUGAGGACAAGAGGGGUUGAAUGUUCUGGAACUUACAGGCCCUUGGAGGAAGAUCCCGUCUUAUUCUUGGUCAGCAUGAUGGCUAGAAUGGAGGUAACCAGUGUGUAGUAGACGC